GGGCCUGUAGCUCAGCCAGGCAGAUAUAUUAUUAGCCUAAAGCGGCUGGCUCUUAACCAGUAGGUCGAGGGUUCAAAUCCCUCCAGGCCCG
rnacentral:tRNA from 2 species